rnacentral:rRNA from 1 species
CCCUUAGAUGUCCUGGGCUGCACGCGCGCUACACUGAUAUGUCCAGUAAGCACCUAACCUCUUCCGAAAGGAACGGGUAACCUUUGCAAAGCACAUCGUGAUGGGGAUAGAUUAUUGCAAUUAUUAGUCUUGAACGAGGAAUUCCUAGUAAGCACAAGUCAUCAGCUUGUGUUGAUUACGUCCCUGCCCUUUGUACACACCGCCCGUCGCUCCUACCGAUUGAAUGUUCCGGUGAGCUCUUCGGACUGCGCGGUCUGCAGUUUCUGCGUUCCGUGCGGAAAGUUGCGCAAACCUUAACAUUUAGAGGAAGGAGAAGUCGUAACA